UACGUAGGAGGCGAGCGUUUGUCCGGAAUUACUGGGCGUAAAGAGCGCGUAGGCGGCACUGUACGACCGCUGUGAAAGCCCCCGGCUCCAACUGGGGAGGGUCGAGUGGUAACGGCAGAGCUGUGAGUGCAGGAGAGGGAAGUGGAACUCCGGGAGUAGCGGUGAAAUGCGUAGAGACUCGGAGGAACACCAGUGGCGAAGGCGGCUUCCUGGUCUGCGACUGACGCUGUGGCGCGAAAAGCUAGGGGGAGCGAACGGG
rnacentral:rRNA from 1 species